rnacentral:antisense_RNA from 1 species
GGGUGCUUGAGGCUUUCCGGUCUCAGGCCUUGUCGGAGUUCGGAAAGAUGAAAGCCCCAGGAGAUAUUUCUAUCCACCUGAGGCCUACAUCCGAACCAGACAAUCGGAUGUUAGUCUCUUCUUUGCACGGAGGCAAUAA